rnacentral:lncRNA from 1 species
GAGGAAGAGCUGCUGCAGGCAGACAGACAGACUGACAGAUAGGCAGACCUUGCAAACCAUAGUCAGGGAGUUUAGAUUUGUUCUGGGUGUGAUAUGAAGCACCUGCGUUGUUAUUUUAAUUGCUAUUUUUUCUGAUGUGGGAGGCUUUGGGAGGAGCAGCGCUGCCAUAUUUGUGUCUUACAACAAUUACUCUGACUGUUAUGUAACCUGGGACUGCUGGAGCCUAAAGACAGGCACAGAAACCCCACUUAGGAAGAUUAUCUAAUAAUGCUUGAGACCAGGUGUGCUUCUCCAGAGGUUUUCAAGUAUUGAAGGAUUUGCAUAGAUUUUGCCAGUGGAGCAUGCCUGUCCAAAAGUAAAAUCUUCGAAAUGCUCCAGAGGCAAAUCUUUUGGAGUAUCACAGUGGCAUUCACUGAGGUUCAGAUUCUGCAGUAUCUCAGAUUUUGGAAUUUGGUAAUCAGUCUGUGAUAUGGAUAAGAGAUACCAGUAACAAAUUAGGAUGGACAGAUGGAGAGACAGACAGAUACACAUACACAGACACAUACAGAUACGCAGUAUCUCUCCUCCUCCUCCUCCUCAGAUAAAUGAAGGAGAGUACCCACCUUAUCUGCACUCAAGGGUUUUCACCCUUCCGGUCUCCUCUUUAGUGUCAGGCUUAUUAAACUUUCCCAUGUUUCUUAACUAGAUAAGCAUGCAUUUCGUAUACUCCUGACUUUAUAAAGGGCAACAUCCCAUACUCUUUUCUAUACUCAAAAUGACUCUGAAACAGUUUACAUAGUUCUUUCUCAUUCCUUGCUAUAGUGUCAUGGCGUUGCUUAGCAUGUGUGUGUGUGUGUGUGUGUGUGUGUGUAUGUGUGUGUACACAUGUGUUCAUUGUCAGUAUUUUACUAUGAUAAUGUUGAGAACUUUUGCAUUGUCUUUACCAUGCAAUUUACGUCUUGUCUUGUCUUUUGACAAGGUUUCUCUGUGUAGCCCUGGCUGUCCUGGAACUUACUCUGUAGAGCAGUCUGGUCUUGAACUCAGAGAUCCUAAGUGCUGAGAUCAAAGGCAUGCAUACCACCCAGCUUUUUUUUUUUUUUAGAUUUGUUUUAUGUAUGCGAGUAUUGACCAACAUGUAUGUAUGUAGCCCAUGUAUGUGCCUGGUAGCCCAGAGGUCAGAAGAGGGCAUCAGGUACCCCAGAAUUGGGGCUAAUAGAUGUUUGUAAAUCACCAUGUGGGUGGGUGCUGGGAACUAAGCCCAGGUCCUCUGGAAGAGCAAUGAGUGCUCUCUCUUACUGCUGAGCCAUCUCUCCAGCCCCAGUGCUCCUUCAUUCUUACAUGAUAGAAACAUGUCUGUCUGGAUCUCUAGUCAAUGAAAUUUCUUCCCUACAGCCCAUGCAUUCUUGUUAAACUUCAUUUUAACCUGUGGACCCCUCAUUCGUUUGUCACUUGUUGGGUACUAUGUAAGAUUAGAUCUAAGUUUACUAUUUUUUUGAAAUGGCAUCUAACCCCAGAGCUGUUUCAUUAAAAAGCUCAUUACCCCAGGGAUCUCCUCCACCCUGUUUUUAUGAGAUGAAUUUUUAUACUGUAGUGCAGGCAAGUCUCCAAUUCAAGGCAGUUCUGCUCUAGCCUACUCGGUGCUGGGGUUCCAGGAUGAGCUGCCAUGCACAGCUGUUACCUGGUGAUUAGAGAUGCCGCCUUUAUUGUGUACAGAUGUUCAUAUGAACUUGGAUCUGUUUCUGGACUACUGGAAGAUUGAGGCAUGUGGCAGGGCACAAGGAUUUUAUUUUAUUUUAUUUUAUUUGAACUGAAGUUUUAUUAUAUAACCAGGUUAGUAUAGAAAGUAGUCUAAGCUAGCCUUGAAUUCAUUGCUCUUUUUGCCUGAGUACAGGGGUGACAGGCCUAUGCUACUUCAUCUGACUCAGGACAUUAUGUUUUUGUUUCUGUAUUUGGUUUUGGUGUUGUUGUUGGUGGUGGUGUUUUGUUUUUUUGUUUUUUGUUUUGGAUACAAUAUGUCAUGUGACCUUGAACUACUGGUUCCUCACUGAUUCUUCUGCUUCCAUCUCUUAAGGGCUAGUAUUAUGGGUAUGGGACAUUAUGUAUGUUUAUGGGUCCUAGGAUCAAACUCAGGACCUUGUGCACGGUAAUCAGGCACUCUACCAACUGAGCUGCAACCCCCAGCUUUUUGUUGCUGCUGUUGUAAAUAUUAUUCGUGGGGGUGGGGGUGGUUAUUCUAUUUAGACCAUAUAGUUCUCAAAGACACAAAAACCUUUAGUUUUAAAAUAAGCCUUAAAGCACUAGAGCUGGGCAGAUAUCAGCCCUCUAUGCUCUUUUGUCUACUCCCCUGUCAAUAACCCUGAGAUAUCACUUGUGUGUUGUGCCUGGGCUGCUCCUGUUCUAACAGGCUGGCCCUCAUGGCUGUGCUCUCACCAUUCAUCUCCCCCACAGCGACUUCUGCCUUCUCCCCCUCCUCCUUGUUGUGGUCCCUGCCUGAGCCUUCUAUCUGCCCUGCCCCUCUCUUCUGUACAGCCCAGGCUGUAGGCAUCUUUAUUAACCAAUCAGAGAUAACUUGGAAGCAAGUUUUAUACAACUAAAGCUGGCGUAUGUAAGGAUCUGUUCUUCUCAGAGCAGCGAGAUCUUGGGGUAUAGAGUUUAGCAUUUGAAUAUCAGCCUCACCAGAACAACUGCCAUACAUGUUUAUUUAUGUAUUCAAUUGUAUAUCCUAUCUUGCUGAAUUCUUUCACUAAGCUACUUUUUAUCAUUGAUUUUUCAGGGGUGUUUUUUAGUUAUACAAUUAUAUUGUCAGCUUUUAAUUUUUCCUUUACCCAUUCUAAAGCCUUUACUUGGUUUCAUUUGUCUAGUUAUAUUUGCUAACACCUUUAUUGUAAUGCUGAAUAGUAACAAAUAGUUAAUAUUUUUGCCUUGUUCCUGGUCCUAGUGUUUUUCCAUUAAAAAAAGAAUGAUGCAGAUUUUACAACUAUAGUAUGUAUGUGGGUAGCUUUGCCUAGAGAGUCCUCAAUAUUUAGAUACUUAGAGGUUUUUUGUUUUGUUUUGGAUACUUAGAGAUUUUAAAGAAGGUUAUUAAUUUUACCAAAUUUAAGGAUAACAUGCAAAAGCUCGAAGAUUACAUUUACAACUUGGGACUUACAGUGAGAUAUACCAUAUAGCACAUCAUUUAGAUUUAGAUCAAAUGUGUUUAUGUAUUGUCAUGGUCAUGAAGAACACUUAUCCUCUAAUUGUGUCUCCUAGUGUGUGCUGUAUCUAUGGAGCUUAAAGAUUAACCAUCCUAAAACAUUGUUUCUGCUUCGAGGAAAUCAUGAAUGCAGGCAUCUUACAGAGUACUUCACCUUCAAACAGGAAUGUGAGUAUACAUCUCUCCAGAACAGUCAGUUAUCUCAGGUGCUGCCACACUCAGUUAAGAUCAUACCUUCAAAAUGAAAAACUCAAGCCAGGCUUGGUGGCUCUUGCCUGUAGCUCAGCGCUCGGGAAGCUGAGGCAGAAGGAUCACCACAACUUUGAAGCCAGCUUGGGCUAUAGAGUCAGACACUGUUUAAAAGAAGAUGGAGAAGAAAAGUUCAAUGCUUUUACAUUGCUUAUCAGAGAAUGAGUUUGUUUAGCACACACACUCCACUAUACUCACAUGGUAGUCUCCAUUUGACAAGGUUAUAAUUGAGUCGCUUCACUAGACAGGUUAUAAUAGCUGCCUUCUUCCCAGUAUAGCUUGAAAGGAAAGGUCAGAAUUAUUAAAGAAAAUUGUAAUCCAGGCUUGAUAGACAUAUCUGUAAUCCCAGCACUUGAGAGGUGGAGACAAAAGGAUUAGGAAUUCAAAGCCAGCCUUGGCUAUGUGGUGAAUUCAAGGUCAGUUUGAGCUAUAUGAAACCCUGUCUCAAAAAAACAACAAAAGAGACAGGAUCUUCAGAUCAUUCCAGCCCCAGAAACUUCCUGAAAUAAACACACCAUCAGAUAAUAACCAGGAAGGGUUUCAAAGUAGAUUUACUCUUGGUAGGGAUUUAAAUUGGUGUCAAGUAUUUGGACAGCAAUUUUGAAAUAUUUGUGAAGAUUGGUUUUGUAUUUGUGAAGUAUACAUUCUCUUCUCUCAGUAUUUUGACUGCUAAAGCAACUGUCAGGAGUUUAGUGACUCCCACAGGGCUCAUGUCACAGCAGAAGUCAGGAUUCUCUGUAGGCUUUGCUCAGCAGGGACCAUGGUAUGUGAGGACUGUAUUAGAAUCUUCCUCUGAGGCUAGUAGUCGUUUAGAGUCCUUGCAAUGAUGGAUUAAAGUCCUUUCUUCUAGCUCCCAAACUGGGGGUGAACGGUGGGGGAUGUCACUCUCACUCUCAGUUUUUAAAGAUUGCUUUCAAGUUUUUGACAUGGUUCCCAAAGGUAGUUCCCAGUGUUGACGUUGGCUUUCUUCUGGCCCUGCCUGGAUGAGUCUCUGACUUCUGCAGUCAGAGCUGGAGGAACCCUGUGCUCUUUAAUGGUUGGUGUGAUCAGGCCAGGUUCAUCCAGAAGACUCUUCCCUUUCCGUCCGGUGAAGUGUAACAGUGAGAGGCUCAUCGUAGUCAGAGUCCCACGGACUUGAAAGCUAUACAGAGUGGAAGCCAUUGGAAGUCAUGUUACAAUUUGUCUAGCACAGAUGGACAGAAAACAGUAGAUAUUUGCUUCUUAAGGAUGCUCAUUGCAGUGUUAAUUAUAAC